UGAACGCUGGCGGCGUGCUUAACACAUGCAAGUCGAACGAGAACACCUUCUUCGGAAGGUUAGUAGAGUGGCGCACGGGUGAGUAACACGUGGGUAAUCUACCCUUGAAUUUGGGAUAACACUUCGAAAGGGGUGCUAAUACCGGAUAACGUUACAUAGACUUUGGUUUAUGUAACCAAAGAUGGCCUCUAUUUAUAAGCUAUUGUUUGGGGAUGAGCCUGCGGACCAUUAGCUAGUUGGUAGGGUAACGGCUUACCAAGGCAACGAUGGUUAGCUGGUCUGAGAGGAUGACCAGCCACACUGGAACUGACACACGGUCCAGACUCCUACGGGAGGCAGCAGUGAGGAAUUUUGCGCAAUGGGGGCAACCCUGACGCAGCAACGCCGCGUGAGUGAUGAAGGCCUUUGGGUCGUAAAGCUCUGUCAAUAGGGAAGAAAUUAUAUAUGGUUAAUACCCAUAUGUAUUGACGGUACCUAUGAAGGAAGCACCGGCUAACUCC
rnacentral:rRNA from 1 species